rnacentral:rRNA from 1 species
UACGGAGGGUGCAAGCGUUAAUCGGAAUUACUGGGCGUAAAGCGUGCGCAGGCGGUUCGCUAAGACAGAUGUGAAAUCCCCGGGCUUAACCUGGGAACUGCAUUUGUGACUGGCGGGCUAGAGUAUGGCAGAGGGGGGUAGAAUUCCACGUGUAGCAGUGAAAUGCGUAGAGAUGUGGAGGAAUACCGAUGGCGAAGGCGGCUCUCUGGACCGAGACUGACGCUGAGGCGCGAAAGCGUGGGGAGCAAACAGG